ensembl:snoRNA
CCAUGGCAAGGAUGAUUUUUAAAUGUAGUAUUCACCCGAGAAAUAAAAAUGAGGGUGUUCAGUCACCACCUCAUCUGAUGGGAAGA